CCCUAAGUGAUACUCACUCACGCAGCGCCUCCCUCAGUCCCUCCCUCACCCCUAUUCUCAGAAUCUCCAUUCUCCUCCAUAGCUUCUCCCUCCCUCCAUCCGUAGAGUGGUAGACCGUAGUGCGUCCCUCCUCCUCCUCCAUCUGCGACGCUGUUCUUCUGCCCUGCCAUCCUUCUCAUGCAAUCCACGGCGGUGGCGCGUUCCUCGUCGCCAAGUCGCGAGUCCCUACCGCGGCGCUCUUCUCCGUCAAAGAAGCAGCAGCAGUUCUAUCACUAUCAACAGGAAUGGAAGAGUAAAGGACAUCAUUCUGAAGCGGAAGAUCGGAAAUGGGUCGUUCUCGGCGGUGUGGAGGCGAGCACAGAGGCACCGACGAAGAGGUGGCAGUGAAACAGGUCUUCCUCUCCAAACUCAUCCCUCGCAUUAAGUCAUCGUUCCACUGCGAGCUCAAUUUCUUGUCCUCCGUCAACCACCCCAACAUCGUUCGCCUCCUUGAUUUCUCCAGUAUGAUGGAUGUGCGUACUUGGUGAUGGAGUUCUGUGCUGGAGGGAACCUUGCUUCUUAUAUCCUAUCCCAUGGGAGAGUUCAACAAUAAACUGCCAGAAGAUUCAUGCAGCAGCUUGGUUCUGGUAUGAAAAUAUUACAAAGUCAUGGUAUCAUUCAUAGAGACUUGAAACCAAAGGUAAAGCUAAAAUGAAAAAUGUAUGUGACAUUGUUGCUACUUUGGUUUGAGAUGCCUAUUACUACAUUAACAUUUAUGUGAAGUAAAUACUUACUUCGGUUGGUGGAUUGUGAGGGCCAUUAGUAAAUACUUACUUUAGGAAAUGUUGUAUUGAGAGACAUUGGUGGAUAUAUUCAAGAAGAGGUGUGUUAUUAAUUGUAUGCAGUUAGAGCACCCCAUCAAUGAACAAGAGAUCAACUCAACUCAAGAAUAGCAUAUACCGAACCUUACUCGAAUCAUAAGCUGUGCCCCCCUCUUUCCAAGAUUCAGGUAGGUGCCUAAAACUAUGGCGAUCAUUUUGGAAUUUUGACCAGCCCAAAUGGAAAGUUCCUUGUGUUUUUUUCUGCAAAAAGUGUUGUGGAUUCAGGAGUGCACAAUGCUACAAACUCACUACAUAGAAUUGAUUGGCCAACCGAUGGAAGACUCACUGCAAACUGCAUCAUGAUAAGUGUAUAAGGUUGAUAUGGUUGUUGUUACCGAUGGGAGCAGAAUUUUUGGACUUGGAGAUUGGAGUUCAUGGAAAUGGCAAUCCAUUGGGAAGCUUGAUCUGUAUGUUGUAGCUGCUGGGAUAAAUCCUAAAGGAGUUCGCACCCUGGGAUGAUUCCGUCGCCGUGAAUGACAUUGUUGCUGGUCUAAAAGGAUUCAGAGAUGAUGAUGUGAAGUCAUUUUCUUCUGGUUUGAAUUCAGCUGAGACUCAGGCCAUGUAAUUGCAGUGCCAGUGUGGGAGAACCAUCAAGCAGUGCUGCACAGCCAAGCAUUUCCUUUUGCUUUGUAACUUGGAUCCUUUAGAUUCUAUUGUCCCUGGAUACCUUUUCUGGGUGGCUUGAGCAUAAUUGAACAGGCAACAGGCUUGAUAGCGGCAGGGAAGGAAUUGCAAGGACUUAGAGCUCUGAAUCUAAAUAAAUUAUUGAGGGAUUCUGAAAAUUUUACUAUCCAAUACUGUACAAAAAAUGGAUUAUUGCUCAAGGUUGUCUCAUAGUCGGCUUUAUCAUGCUCUUUUAUAUCUUGUUUUAUCAUACUGUUUUUCCUAAUGGAUUAUUUUGAUCAUUUGAAGAUUGUAAUAACACUAGUUCGUAAUUUUGUAUCCCCAAUGUGAUUACAGAUAUUUCUAAAUGAUGUAAAAUUGUUUGACCU